rnacentral:lncRNA from 1 species
AUCCCACAAAAAUAUAACAGAACAAAAGGACAUGAGAAAGCUGAAUGUGGCUUGUGAUCACUAAGAUAUCCAGGCUUUGUGUCUGUGUGGCUAACAUAUGUAUCUAAAGAAGAAAAAAGAGCCAGCUGGUUCAGCAUAUGCUUCCUGAAUUCAGAAGAUGCCCUCCCUGCCUUUCCUUACCAGUGGGUUGGUGUAGUUAAACUACUCUGAGACAAGCCUCCUCCCUCUCCACUUUCGAAGUAUUUCAUGGACAGCUUGAGGCCAAUUCCAAACAGAAGGUACCC